GAGAGGGCAUAAAGAGUGUCGACACUAUCGCCCUCAUUCUGAAGCAAAAAGUCAUAACUGUUAGUUUAUUCCUCUGCUUCUGCCCUUUGUUUCCUUCCAUUAUGUCGACACCCUUCUUCUUCCCUUCCCACUUCCCCACUCCCAUCUUCUUCCCUUUUUCUUUCUACAUCAUCGAUCCUUCUCUGUUCCUGCUCUUUUUUAAA
rnacentral:misc_RNA from 1 species